AGAGGCAGAGGCAGGAGAAUCACUUGAACCCGGGAGGUGGAGUUUGCCGCAGAGAUCAAGACACUGCACGCCAGCCUGGGCAACUCAGCCUCCUGAGUGGCUGGGAUUACAGGCACCCGCCAUCGUGCCCGGCUAAUUUUUGUAUUUUUAUAGAGACAGGGUUUUAAUAUGUUGGCCAAGCUGAUCUUGAACUCCUCAUCUCAGGUGAUCCGCCCUCCUCAGCCUCCUAAAUUGCUGGGAUUACAGUCAUGAACCACCGCGCCUGGAGAGUUCUCUUUUCUUUGGGUAGGGCAAGGCAAACUGGAAUGGAUUCACCGGAGAGCUGUGCGCAUGCCCUGGAAAGCAUUCUGGUUAGACCCAUGUGAGACAGAGCCCAGAGUUGAUCUCUGCACCACUCUAUCACUGCUGGGGGUGAGGAAAUGGUGGAACCGGUGAUUCAGGACUGUUUUUUCUCUCUUCUCAGUGCCUCUUUCAGUGAUAUGAAGUUAAAACCAGGAUGGAAGAUCAGUGGAGCCUUCUUUCUGCCAUCUUGCUUUACCCUCACACCCAAGAAUCAGAAUGCAGAACUUUUAAUCAGAAAAGCAUUCAGAACUCAGGAAGGACAUGGAAGACAUCCUGGUUCUCCACGUUUAACAUUGGACUGUUUCUUCAACUUAGGUGCAUAGCACUGACACUAAUCAGGGAUUAUCACCGAUAAUUUGACUUGGACUAUGGAGUUCAUUCAAAUACUUUAUCUAGACAAUUUAAGUACUGGCUUAUUUGUCAUGAAAAUCUGACAAAGUAAUUUCUUGGUAUUCAGUUGAUUUUUACUCUGUUUGGGUUAGCAGUUUAUAAACCAGUCAGUCUCUUCAUUAAAGUUCUGGGAAUUCUUACUCGUUCAAAUGAUAUGAUUCUAAAGUUCUCAAAAAUCUGUAUUCUAGAAUUCUUCUCAGGACCUUUUCCCUCCUUUCAUGAAACUCCUUAAAGAUACAGUAUUCUAUAAUUUUGCAAGCUUGUACAGUUUUCAGAAACUGCCUCAGAAUUAAGCAAUUUACAGUGGAAAUGUUUUUAAAUUGUCAUAGACACAAUUGACAAGAAAAUUUUAUUAUUUACAGGCGUGAGCCACCACACCCAGCCUCUGAAGUUAAUUUAAUAAAAUUUUAUGAAUAAAUUUAUCAAAUGUGUCAUCUUUUAAUCCCAGAUCUUUGUGAACCUAUGCUUUGCAUUUCCCCCAGCUUUCUAUAUUUACCUAGUUUUAUCUAUUUUUUACUUGUACAAUUUGAAACCUUUAAGUAACUUCAAACAAAAAAAAAUUAAAACAUAUGUUUACG
rnacentral:lncRNA from 1 species